rnacentral:rRNA from 1 species
ACAUGUCUUUUUAGUGGAGAAUUUAAAGUCGGACCUGCCCACUGAUAAAAUUAAAGGGCCGCGGUAUUUUGACCGUGCAAAGGUAGCAUAAUCAUUAGUCUUUUAAUUGAAGGCUGGAAUGAAUGGUUUGACGAAGUAUAGACUGUCUCUGUAUAAUAUAUAGAAUUUAACUUUUGAGUUAAAAGGCUUAAAUUUAAAUAGAGGACGAGAAGACCCUAUAGAGUUUUAUAUACUUUUAAAAUAAGUUUAAUUAGGUUAAGUAAUUUUUAUUUUAAAAGUAUAUUGGGUUGGGGUGACUUAAAGAUAAAAUUAACUCUUUAUUUGAUGAACAUUGAUUUAUGAAUAUGUGAUCCAUUUUUAGUGAUUAUAAGAUAAAAUUACCUUAGGGAUAACAGCGUAAUUUUUCUUGAGAGUUCUUAUCGACAGAAAAGUUUGCGACCUCGAUGUUGGACUAAGAAAAUGGCUUGAUGUAGCAGUUAAGUUAAUAAGUCUGUUCGACUUUUAAAUUCUUAC